rnacentral:rRNA from 1 species
AUUAACGCUGGCGGCGUGCAUAACCCAUGCAGGUCGAACGAUGAAACUUAAAUGAUUUCUUCGGAAUGAACUUAAGUGAAUUAGUGGCGGACGGGUGAGUAACGCGUGAGUAACCUGCCUUACACAAGGGGAUAGCCGUUGGAAACGACGAAUAAUACCCUAUGAAACUAUCACUUCGCAUGAAGCGAUAGUCAAAGUGUUAGCGGUGUAAGAUGGACUUGCGUCUGAUUAGCUAGUUGGUGAGAAAAAAGCCCACCAAGGCAACGAUCAGUAGCCGGCUUGAGAGAGUGUACGGCCACAUUGGGACUGGGACACGGCCCAGACUCCUACGGGAGGCAGCAGUGGGGAAUUUUGCACAAUGGGGGAAACCCUGAUGCAGCGACGCCGCGUGAUUUAGAAGGCCUUCGGGUUGUAAAAAUCUUUUGUAUAGGAAGAAAAUGACAGUACUAUACGAAUAAGGUCCGGCUAAUUACGUG